AAUAAACGCUGGCGGCGUGCCUAACACAUGCAAGUCGAGCGAGAAAGCUCCUUCGGGAGUGAGUACAGCGGCGAACGGGUGAGCAACGCGUGGGAAUCUACCCUUCAGUGAAGAAUACCCUUGAGAAAUCGAGGUUAAUACUGCAUACGUCCUGUAAAGGAGAAAGAUGGCCUCUUUGCUGUCGUUGAAGGAUGAGCCUGCGUACUAUUAGCUAGUUGGUAGGGUAACGGCCUACCAAGGCGAUGAUGGUUAACCGGCCUGAGAGGGUGUACGGUCACACUGGAACUUAGACACGGUCCAGACUCCCACGGGAGGCAGCAGUGGGGAAUUUUGGACAAUGGGCGAAAGCCUGAUCCAGCAAUGCCGCGUGUGUGAAGAAGGCCUUCGGGUUGUAAAGCACUUUUGUCCGGAAAGAAAUGGCUCUGGUUAAUACCUGGGGUCGAUGACGGUACCGGAAGAAUAAGGACCGGCUAACUACGUGCCAGCCGCCGCAGUAA
rnacentral:rRNA from 1 species